UACGUAGGUGGCAAGCGUUAUCCGGAAUUAUUGGGCGUAAAGAGCGCGCAGGUGGUUAAUUAAGUCUGAUGUGAAAGCCCACGGCUUAACCGUGGAGGGUCAUUGGAAACUGGUUGACUUGAGUGCAGAAGAGGGAAGUGGAAUUCCAUGUGUAGCGGUGAAAUGCGUAGAGAUAUGGAGGAACACCAGUGGCGAAAGCGGCUCUCUGGCCUGUAACUGACAUUGAGGCUCGAAAGCGUGGGGAGCAAACAGG
rnacentral:rRNA from 1 species